AGCAGCCGCGGUAAUUCCAGCUCCAAUAGCGUAUAUUAAAGUUGUUGCAGUUAAAAAGCUCGUAGUUGAAUUUCGGGGUUAGUAGGUUGGUCAUGCCUCUGGUAUGUACUGGUCUCACUGAUUCCUCCUUCCUGAUGAGCCGUAAUGCCAUUAAUUUGGUGUUGCGGGGAAUUUGGACUGUUACUUUGAAAAAAUUUAGAGUGUUUAAAGCAAGCUAACGCUUGAAUACAUUAGCAUGGAAUAAUGAAAUAGGACGUUUGAUUCUAUUUUGUUGGUUUCUAGGAUCGACGUAAUGAUUAAUAGGGAUAGUUGGGGGCAUUAGUAUUCAAUUGUCAGAGGUGAAAUUCUUGGAUUUAUUGAAGACUAACUACUGCGAAAGCAUUUGCCAAGGAUGUUUUCAUUAAUCAAGAACGAAAGUUAGGGGAUCGAAGACGAUCAGAUACCGUCGUAGUCUUAACCAUAAACUAUGCCGACUAGGGAUCGGAUGAUGUUAAUUUUUUAAUGACUCAUUCGGCGCCUU
rnacentral:rRNA from 1 species